UGGUUCUGGCAUCGAUGAAGAACGCAGCGAAAUGCGAUAAGUAAUGUGAAUUGCAGAAUUCAGUGAAUCAUCGAAUCUUUGAACGCACAUUGCGCCCGCUGGAAUUCCAGCGGGCAUGCCUGUUCGAGCGUCAUUUCAACCCUCAAGCCUGGCUUGGUGUUGGAGCACUACCCGUUCUACGGUAGGCUCUGAAAUUCAGUGGCGGGCUCGCUAAGACUCUGAGCGUAGUAGUUUAUCACCUCGCUUUGGAUGGAUUAGCGGUGCUCUAGCCGUAAAACCCCCCAAAUUUUUCUGAAUUUUGACCUCGGAUCAGGUAGGAAUACCCGCUGA
rnacentral:misc_RNA from 1 species